CUGUUUGGGAUUUAGAAGUAGUCAGCUUUCCCAGGCUUUCAGGACCCAAAUUUCUGAACUGUAUUUCCUUUCAUUUCUGCUUGCAGACCGGCCAGUUCUUUCCUGAAGGCACCAAUGACAUCUUGCUAAAGGGGGAGAUAAAGCCAACACACAGGGUUACCGGGAUGCCAUAUUCAGUUUUCAGACAUUUUCACCAACUGCAGUUGAGGACAACCGUGUGUGGGUGUCAACCAUGAUGUUGCUUUUCGAUUUGACUCCCUCUACUUCCUGCCAAGGAGUUUCUUUCUACGAGAAGGUUUGGGUUUGGCCAGAUGACACUUGGAAGCUGACCUCAGAAGGCUCUGUUUGGAAGGCUGGUUGAUGAGUAUCUGGGGAGCGCCCCAGGAGAAGGGUCAGCUAAUGGCAAUAUCGGAAGAGUGUCUACUUCUGGAUGGUACUUCUAGCUUCUUUGAGAUCGAAAGAUAAGUGUCUGUUGUUAUGAACUCACUGUCUCGGGGCACCUUGGUCCCUCUCUCUCUCUCUCUCUCUUUUUUAAGUUUUUAAAAAUUGAUGGCGGUGCCGUGCAGCUUAAGGAUCUUAGUUCCCUGACCAGGGAUGGAACCCAUGGCCUCGGCAGUGAGAGCACGGAGUCCUAACCACUGGACCGCCAGGGAGUUCCCCCUCUGUCUUCUCCACCAGCCUCUUGACCUCACUGAACUCCACUCCCUUUUUCUCAUGUUGGAUCCGAAGCAGGUGCUCAUUUAGACAUGGCUCCACUCACAGACGAACCGCUCUCAAGAUCAUCAGCCAGCUUCCGGGAAGGGGGCCCCACCCCAGGGGGCCCCACCCCAUUCCCGACCUCACCGUUGGGUACUGCCCCGUUAGGCACGCCACCAUUAUCGCUUGCGAGAGUGAAACAAGAGUGAGAGCAAACAAGGAACUGAGAGGGGUUUGUCCAGCUGAAGGCAUGAUGUCCCUCAGCUUCGCAGGCCCGCCACCCUCUCCAUGUGGGUGAAGACCUUCGUAGACAAGAGGAGGGGCAUUGCAGCUGCUCUCCUCCUACCUGUACACUGCUGGAGUCCCGGACAGUCCCCUGCUUCUUACUGUGCCCCUGCCAUGGGUUGAACUGCAUCGCCCUAAAAGGAGAAGAGACAUGGAAACACACACACACAGGGAAGACAGCCAUGUGAGGAUGGAGGUGGAGUGUGGAGCGAUGCUGCCACAAGCCCAGGGCUGCCUGGGGACACCAGGAGCUGGAAAAGGCAAGGAAUCCUUCUCCCCUAGAGACUUUGGAGGGAGCGAGACCUUUGAUCUUUUUUCUGUUUUCGGCCACACAGCCUGUGGGAUUUUAGUUCCCUGACCAGGGAUUGAACCUGUGCCCCCUGCAGUGGAAGCACGGAGCCCUAACCACUGGACUGCCAGGGAAUUCCCUCAACACCUUGAUUUUGGACUUCUAGCCUCCAGAACUGUGAGACAAUAAAUUUCUGUCGUUUUAAGCCGCCCAGUUUGUGGUACUUUACUAUGGCAGGCUGAAGAAGCUAAUACACGUCCUAUAAUCACUUUUUAUGCACAACGGCCAGAGGAACCUUUGCAACUUAAGUCAGAUUGUGCCCUUUCUCUGCAUAAAAACCUCUUUUGAUUUUCCUCUGAUUUUAUGAUGAAAUCCAAGCUCUUUGCCAGGCGCAAUGAGGCCUUACACAUCUGGCCCUGAUGAUUUCUGGUCUCACCUCCUACCCCCACCUCUGUUCCUCCUGUUUGUUUCUGGAACAGGGUUGCUGACUCUUUCCACUCACUGGGUCUAUGACCCUGAAGGAAUGAGUUGGAGUCACUAACCUCACCCCGAGUAUUGCUUCAUUUCCUCCAGAUCACAUAUCCCGACGUCGCAUUUCUGUACUAGCUCGUCAUUGGUCCCAGUCCCUCUAUGGUGAAGGUCGUGAGGUCUGAGCUCACCACGUUGCCAUGUCCUGUGUCCAGAACAGUGCUGGGCACAGCUAGAGUGGGAGCUUCAUAUAUAUUUGAAUGAGCAGUCAAGCCUCAUCCAAGGAGAGGCCCAAAGACAUCUCAACACACCUAAUGACUGAGAGGUCACAUUUUGGCAUCAGAGUGUCCUGGAAAUGUUCUAGAUGCGAGCAUACAUAUUUGUUGCUUGAAUGAUACGUUGGAUGUGUGAUGGCGUUUUUGGAAAAUAAGGGAAUGAUGAAGACCGUACUUCCUUUAGAAGUUGUUGAUUGGUCAAAAUCAAACUUCUGAUUUAAGUGAUUUUGAAUGAUAAAUUCGAGAAGAAGUAAUGAUGAAUUAGAAACUGACCAUGAAAAAACGAAUAUUUCAGCUGGAAGAUAGCGGUUUCAGCAGGAGUAGUUCUGCUUGAUUUGAACCCUGUUUUUAGCAAUCGCGAGGUUACUGUAGCUCUGAAUGGAAUUCUCACUGUGACGUGAGCAUGUGUCUUUUUCCAGACCCACAAAUUAUGCUCUGUACCCCAAACAGGAGGGUAAGGAAAGUUCUGGGAACUCAGGCAAUGCUGCCUCGGCCCUGCUCAGCUUUUGAAAGUCCCCCCAGCCUGGAGCUGAUGUACUUGGGCCACACUUCACCUUCGUCUUCGCUGGAGUUUCCUCCUGACUUUGGUGAUUUCCUGGGUCUCUUGAGUUACCACAGCUCUUGCUGCAGGACCCACCACAGCAGGGCUCCCAUACUGCGAAACACCCAAGGCUCAAAGGAUUUCAUUUCAAUGAAAGAGGCUCCUUUUCUGUUUUCAUCCAGUGACCAAGGUGAACACAUGGGCCGUUAGCUCCAUUUUCGGAGGAGUUUUCAUAUCAUGCUUUAAAAAUCACGAAUGAAGUCAGUGCCUCCAUGGUACCUGGAAGCUUGCGUCCAGCAGCGUUCUUGUUUUCUCACUUGGAUGGGAAAGAGCUGUGGAGGUACCGUCCUCCCGGGAGUUCCGGAGUCUGAAAACAGAGGCCUUGGGUUGUAUGAAAAGGUCUCUAUUCUUUCUUUAAAUAUUCACAGAGUCCCACGCCAGGAAACAAAACAAGAUUGCUUUAUCAGUCACCCAACAGUGAGAGAGGAAAGCCGCCCACUUCUCCACGCUUCCUUUCAAAGUGACCUCAGUGACCCUGAUGGAUUCAUGGAAUUAAUUAGAAACAACAGUAAGGAUGCCGUGGGAUGGGCGAUUUUGUCACUAGACAACGUUUCGGAACUUCCCUGAAGAGCCUCUGCUGCCUCCGACCCACCUCACUGCCCACGCACCCACCCUGUGAUGCAGACCCUCUCGGGAGGGGCUCAGACCACCUUCCCCCUUGUUGCCGCCUUCCACGUGGGCCCUCCCGGGUCCCACAAACCCACCCGACAGGCUGCCGCUCCACUCAGGCAUCUGUAGGGGUCUGAGCUUAGUCAAGCCCUGCGGCCCCCUAAGCUCUCGCCCUGACCGCAGACCCUCACUGGGUCAAGGGUGGUUGACCAGCUCAAGACUCAGUUCCCCACAGAGGCCACGUCCUGUGAGGAAAAGGAAGAGAUGGAAACCUAGCUCUCAAGGGUCUGCUCAGGGCCAGGCACUGUGCUGGGAGGACUCUUACUCCUGUGUGAUCUCAUUUCAUCAUCAAAUAUGCAGGAGAAUCCACUGGGAAGCAGAGGAUCGCCAGACGUGCACAGACACAGGAAGGGCUGCCUUCCUCUGCUUCGGCAGCCACCGAGGAGGACACACUCCCGGACACCCCCUGCAAAGGCCACAGGCCCUGCUGCAUCCACACGUCAGGAAUAGCACCCCAGGUCAGUGACAAAGAAAUGCAACCACGCUAAUUGUGGGGAUGACCCCUGGCAGACGUCACUGGCCGCGGUCUCUGGCGAGUGAUCGGUCAUGAGCCGUGCGUGGCUAACUCAGCUUUGGACGCAGAGAUAUAAGGUUAUCAGCCAACUACAACCCCAUGAAACUUGCCACUGGCAGUUCAGAUGCUUAUUUUCAGAAGCACAAGAAUGAAAACUUGAACAGCAGUUCUCUCCUGGAGGAAAAAGAGCUCUGCCUGCCACCCCCUUACUCCGUGACCUUGGGCAGCCCAGAUCCUUACUGUGUGUUAGCUCCUUCCAGCCCUUGAAGGGCUUGGAUGGCUUCACUCUAAAGUUCUACUUGGUUCUAAAACUCCCCAGUUCUGGGAAAGGGAUGGACUGGGAGUUUGGGGUUGGUAGAUGCAAACGAUUACAUUUAGCAUGGAUAAACAACAAGGUCCUAAUGCAUAGCACAGGGAACUAUGUUCAAUAUCCUGUGAUAAACCAUAGUGGAAAAGAAUAUAAAAAAAGAAUGUAUAUCUAUGUAUAACUGAGUCACUUUGCUGUACAGCAGAGAUUGA